ensembl:lncRNA
GUCUAGCUCUGGGCUGCUUCAAGGCAGGGGCAAGGCUUUGACAUCAGCCCAAGAAGAACCACCAAGCCCAUAUUUUGUCUGAAGCUGGAUUUGAACUAAUGGCAAGGGAACAGCUACUAGAAACAUUACCCACUGUGAGGCUGCAGGCUCUUCCCUGCCCCCCCAUAAGCAGAAGUGCUCCUGGGUCUGAUCAGCUACUGUGGACUCUUUGUGCGAUGGGAAGUGGGCCUGCAGGAAAGCCUUGCCUACAGUGGUAGCCCUGAUUCUAGAAGGAAAUCCAUGCAAAAACCUGCAGGACAGAAAGUCCUGUCUUCUGUAAGCUCUCUUGAAGGUUGUCUGAAGGUUGGACUGUCUUUUCUGGCACCGGGCUGUUAGUUAUGGUGAGUGUUUACAGGAGAAGUGAGCAUUGGGUCCAUUGGUUUCUGCAAAUUGCCUUGCUUCUCCAGAGAGAAAAGUCCUUGAAACCUAAGUCUUCCAAAUAGAAGUCACUGUUGGACCCAUGUUUGGAGGUAUUCCAGCCCUCAUGAAGGAUUGAAAGACACAGAUGGGAGCAGAGAGGCAGUCUGACGAAAUGGUGUCUGAUGCGGAAGUGUGGAUGAAGCAAAAGUGUGUAGCUGAAUUUCUCCAUGUGGAAAAAUUGCACCCAAUGACAUUCAUCAAUGUUGCUGAAUAUUUAUGGAGACCAAAGAGUGGAUGUGAGCACAGCAAGGAGGUUGGUGGCAAAACAGUGAAACAAUCCUCUUGUGCAGAUUUUUACGAGUGCGGCAUGCAGGCUCUUGUUCACUGCUAGUGAAAAUGUAUAGAUAAUUGGUGGUGAUUAUGCUGAAAAGGAGUAUUUCGUGGCUUAGAAUUUUCUCUAUCAAGUAGUGUUAUUGUGUUAUUGCUCUCUUUGUGUCUGUUGUAGUUUCCAUGGAAAUAAAUAGGAGGCAUUACUUUCAGAACUAUCUACAUAUUUAGUCUGCUUUAUCAUUAAUAGAAGUAUAGAAGUAUUUUAUACUUCAGUUUGCACCAACAUUAUUUGUUUUAUUCCUUUUUAAAAUGAAAGUAAUAGAAAGUUUAAGCAUUAAGGAAUAUCAGACAAAUCCUUUCACAUUAUCUCAGUAUUGAGAGUGGAUUUUGGCAGUGGUCAGUGUAUUAGCAGCAUCCAGACUCUUCAUUUUUGCUUCCCAGUUUUUGAAUUGCUGCAGUUCUAGGUCAUGUGUUGAAGCUUCACUGAGGUCUUGGAAUCACCAGGAGCCAAGGUUUCAAAUGUGCAUCCCUUCAGUUACACACUUCAGGCCUUACUUAGGUUCUUAUCUCAAUUAAUUCAGUCCCUAGAGCAUGAGAAUUGCAAAUGAAGGUAGCAAGAGCUUUUGAUGAUGUGCACCUAGGAAAUUCAGGCAUCUUUCAGGCUUCAAGUGUCAGCUUUGACUCUAAUAGAAAAUGAAGCACAGAAACAAAACCUGCUCGCUCCGAUGACAGCACCAUAUUCUUCCCCAAGGCAUCUUCACAGACAAAGACUCAGAGGUCAUAAAAAGCUCUUCCAUGGGGGAUGGAUGAGGUCUCAAACACCCUUUACAUAUGCAACGAAGAAACUACUCCAUUACCACACUAUUCAAAGCAUGGAGAUUCCCUCUUCAUCUGACAAACUACAGUCACCCUUCUCCAUGUCCUUUGUAUUCCAGCAAAAACAGAGAAGGAGCAGGAGAGAGAAGUAGAGUGGAAAGAACUUCUCCUGGAAUGUACUGGACCAUUAAAUAUAAAGUGUCUUGGAUCUUCUUAAAUGCUGCAAAGCAGGUUAAGCUCUACACUCUACACAGCAAUUCACAACACCAAUCAUCUUUGACUGCCAAACCCUGCCGGAACAGUGAAAAAUCAUGGCACUUACAUUAAAUGUGAACAGUAACUUUUUCAAAGAGUGCAAAAUAAAUAAUUGUGGGAGAGAAUAGAUGAAUACAUAGGUAGAUGGAAGUCUCUAGAAUGGAGAAUUAGUUAUGAAUGUGGAUAAAGGAGCAUUGCUUUUACAGGUAACUACAAACAAUCUUGAAUUUAUACUCUCCACACCAACCUGGCUGACAGAGAAAACUUUUUCUCCAUUCUGCUUACUAAAAACUAACUAACAAACAACAACAAAAAUAGGUACCAAGCUGUCUUUUCUUUCUUCGUCUCUUCCUUUCUUUGUCUUUCUUUUAUUUAUUUUAAAUGUUUUAUUUAUGUUGUACAUAUUUAUUCAGGAACACAUAAAGCCUGCUUCCAUGUAGAGGCAAACCAAAUAAACUUACAUAAUCUAUAUAGUCUAAACCAAACAAAUACAUCUCUCUUCUAUGUUAAUAUAAUUAACAUUUCCUAUUAACCAGGACAGUAACGCAAACAGGCAAAACAUGAUGCAGGCUCUCUUGUAAAAAUAAAAUUAUAUUGUGGAAAAAUAUUGUGAAAAGUAGCCACAUACAAGAGAGAAGAGAAUAAAAUGCAAAAAGAAUGCAAAAAGUGAAUAUAAUGUUAUAUGCCCAAACACAUACUACAAAGAAUCAAAAACUCUCACUGCUAUCAGUGCGCAGCAAGAUUGCACAUGACUUUCUCAUAUUGGGGUUUGUAUUUAAAUGCAUCAGAACAUAAGCUUGCCUGAGAUCCAAGGAAUAUAUGAACUGGGAAGGGAGUUUUAUAUGAUGAAAGACAGGUAGGCUGAUGAUGGUUUAUUAAGAAGUGCUGGAAGCAGAAAGACAGGAGGAAUCUGGAAAAGGCCUCCACUUUAAAUCCUUCAGAGCCAAGGAAGCAGAGAAACACUGCCUUGGCUGGUGACAGCACAGCACUGGCAAUGCUGAGAAAGUCAAGUAGUCAUUCAUCACUGUGGCAUGGGAGAAGUUGCAUAAAGGAUCUGAAAAGCCCUCCAAAGCACCCUGAACCCAGGCAGUAAUUAUGUCAAGCCUUUGACCCACUGAAACCACUAUUAACCUCUCACAGAGGCACAAUUGUACAUCCAAACAUUUGCAACGUUAGUCAUGUUUAAACAGCUUCCAGUAAAGAUGACACAGGCCUAUAAGAGGAAUCUGCAUGUUCCCUCUGGAAUUGACAGGAUUCAUUCAAGUCUUUCUCCUCAGACUUGGCUGCCAAUUCUAUCUUUGCAAUUCUUAUCCCCUGUUUUCCUUGGGAACUUAAUACAUAAAAUAUUGUCCACAUAUUUUCUAUUAAAGGAAAUUUGGUUUGGUGAAGAUGGGUUGGCUUAUGUUAUGAAUUUCCUAAAUAGUUGAUUUAAAUUUAUAUAUUUACAAGCAUCUUAACCACACAAAUUAUUCUGGGGUAGAAAGGAAACACUCAGUUCUCAUCCUUUUCUUCUCAGGUACACCAAGUAAUAAGUGUCAUACUUAAUGCAUUACCAGUCCCAAAAGGUUUUCCAAUACACUGAAAUUCCCAUAUCUACAUGUUUGUGAUUGCCUUUCUUUGAUGUGAAUCCAUAUCACUUCUUUUCUCCAGCAUUUCUCUUAUGUGUUUCCAUGUUUACGCUGAAGGGAUACUGGUAGAAUAGAGUGGUCUUUGCUCACACUGGAAAUGUGGCAUCCUAGCAGGCCAGGUUCCUCUCUGAUUCUGAAAUUGCCUAAUGCCACUGAAAUCAAUAGAGUUAUCCUCAUUUGCAGCAGUGGGAGGCAGUGUCAGGGCCUUUCCUUCUCUGACAGUCUGCCACUGUGGCUGAAAGCCAGGAAGAAGUCUUAUCCCAUGUGCAGUGAACUAACACUGAUGCAGGACUAGUGAGCAGAGGGAUGAGCUGGAACCUGGACAGGAUGAAAAAAGAGAAUGAAACAGGAGGGAUCCCCUCUCACACACACACACAACAAAAAGUGACAAAAACGUUGUCAAUCGCUGGUAUGGCCAUCUUAAUUCUUAGCAACCAUAAACAUUGAAGCACACCAUUAGUAAAUCAAAGGUGGUGAUAAGGAUUAUAACAAGAUAAAUUUUUGAAAUCGAUAUUCUGUUAUUCCAGAAUAACUUCACUAUUUAACUGAGAUCAAUGGAAUUACCCUAGCAUAAAACAGAAAUAAGCUGGUGGUGAAUCUAGGCCUUCGGGUGUAAAACACAAGAACGGCAGUGUAGCAGAUGCCACGCACACAGCUUAACAGGAGCA